rnacentral:rRNA from 1 species
ACGGAAGGCAGCAGUGGGGAAUAUUGCUCAAUGGGGGAAACCCUGAUGCAGCGACGCCGCGUGAGUGAAGAAGUUAUUCGUAAUGUAAAGCUCUAUCAGCAGGGAAGAAAAUGACGGUACCUGACUAAGAAGCCCCGGCUAACUACGUGCCAGCAGCCGCGGUAAUACGUAGGGGGCAAGCGUUAUCCGGAUUUACUGGGUGUAAGGGAGCGUAGGCGGCACGGCAAGCCAGAAGUGAAAACCCAGGGCUUAACUCUGGGAUUGCUUUUGGAACUGUCGAGCUAGAUUGCAGGAGAGGUAAGUGGAAUUCCUAGUGUAGCGGUGAAAUGCGUAGAUAUUAGGAGGAACACCAGUGGCGAAGGCGGCUUACUGGACUGUAAAUGACGCUGAGGCUCGAAAGCGUGGGGAGCAAACAGGAUUAGAUACCCUGGUA